AAAUAAAGAUAUAACAAUUUUUUGGUAAAAUAUUUCUACCAGUGCCUACUUACUAGCAACCAAAACAAGAUGGAUAUAUUUAUAGGUUUAAGUUCAAGCACCGAAGAGACAAACUUUAGCCAUAAAAUACUUAUGAACACUAAUUUAUGAAAAGCGAAGUGGGUUUUUAACUGUUGAAAUUUUGGGGAGAUCUAGGUUAAUUUGGAUGGAAGUUGUGAAAAAGGAUGUGUAUGAGCUUGCAAUAAGACAUCAGAAUUAGCUCUUCACAGAAAAGAUUGUCUACGAAGCACUUGUGUAAGAUUAGCCGCGACUAGUUAUGGAGAGGCUUGAUGGCUGUUAUUCCUAUCUCCAGGCUUGGAGGUUGCUGAAAAUAUACUCAGAAGGCUUGUUGAUCAAAGUCCAUUUCAAGAUUCUCUCACCAUGACAGAGAACAGACACCAGAAACAAGACCAAAGGUACAUAGAAUGGGUAGCCAGGUGGUUUCAUCCUGGCAACCGAGCCAUCAGCUCUAGUGUUGCUUGCUUUCUUCCUCUAAAAGAGGUUUAGCUUCACAAUAGAUUGAUCAAUUCAUCCUAAAUAUACCAACUUUUAUUGGAGUUUUCAUGCUUGCACAUGUGAGGUCAAUCCUCUUAUUUCUGUCCGUGGGGCUCAUGAUCUUCAUGUAUCAGUGAUGUUUCAGUGUUGGCUGAUCAUAAUUUUGGAUGAAACCAAUGUUCGCUUGCUCCUUCAAAAAUGGAUGUUCAUUCUCUGACAAGGUACCAGCAGAUUCUUCUUCUUCUUCUUCUUCUUUUUCUUUUAUUAAAAAAAUCU